rnacentral:tRNA from 1 species
GGUUCCAUGGUGUAAUGGUGAGCAAUCUGGACAUUGAAUCCAGUGAUCCGAGUUCAAAUCUCGGUGGAAUCU